CCUCCCACCUUCUCCUGCUCCUUCCCUCUCUCAUCCCCAUUCCCCCUUCAACCGAGGGCUCCAAUAAAGGCGUGAUUUGGGAAGGAUUCUCGAUUUCGUGAUUGCUUCUGCUUGCUGGCCAAGCAGCAGCGCCCCACCACUGGUGCCAGAAACCCGAGACCCCAGGACCCCGAGACGCCGGACAAGAAAAACCAGACAGAGAGCCGAGUAUUCAGAACCCGACACGAAAAAUCAAAGAAAAAGGAUCCAAAGAAGGGAUAGAAGUACCUCAUGGCAAGGAACCAUAACAGCAAGCAGAAGAUGUGGUAACUGGGGCAGGAAGAUGAGAUUUCACAUCCUCAAUCAAAACACAAAGCAAAGACUGAACUGGAAGUAGGGAUCAAAACAUCUUGUCAAGCUUGGAGGUAAACAUCACCUUCCACUGGGGCAUCUACCUGGCUCCACUUUAAAGAUUUUAAUCUAAGCUGGCUUGUACCACAAUCCCUCUGCUGAGCCACGUUCUGUUUAUGAGGCAGACAACCACUAUGUACAAUGAAGCAUCUACGGGUUCCCAAAGAUGAGACCAUCAGUCAGAUUCAGGUAUAAGGUUCCUUCUCAAGAUAGUCCCUGGCUACGGCACCCGAUGUGUUCUACUAAACUGCAAGGGUAACACACAGAUCAGGCUCUUUUUAUAUCAGGCUGCAUGAGAAGGCUAUGAACUUUCCAGGAGCUAAAAUGUCAGGAUCCAUGCUGCUUAAAUGUUCUGGGACUAUCAUCCUGACCCUGAAAGAAAGAGUCUCCUCACUGUCCUUAGGUAGGAGCUGAGAGAUUUUUUCCCACCUACUGUGUUAUUGUCCCUGACCUCCAGAUCUUGCUGUCUUGUUUAUCUCCAGUGUUCUGCCAUGCUAGCACAGUUCAAGAUGCAGCUCUUCCCCUACUGUUCCGCGGCAUCUACUCAGAAACACUGCUCCUUCUGAAGUAUUUUGGAGUGUUAGAUUAGAAAACCCACUCACGCUUAUAUGCAUCAAGCACUUUAGAAAUAAUGGGGAAAUAUUAAAAUAUAUAGCUAAGAAAAUUAUACCAUCCAUAUGCAUUUUGAAAAUGAAGCCAAACGAAACUUAUUGCAUAAUAAAAUAUUAGAUAUGGAUAAAAAAUUAAGUACUACAAAAGUAAGUCACAAAAAUUAACUUUACCUCAAAUUAUUUAUAUCAUACAUCCUGCAUGCCCCAGGCUCACCACAUUUCAGAGUUCCCCAAUGUAUACAGGUUCGGUCUACUAAAGCGCCAAAAUAAAUAGGUGCCGGAAUGCCAGCUGAAAUGAAGAGAAAAACAUCCCAUUGCAAGGAUGAGAGAAAAGAGAGAGAAGUGUUGUUUUAUUUGGAAGUACUUCAAUUUCCCUAUUAAAUAAAAAAUAUAACAAAAUAAGAACCAAUGGCUCUGUACUUUUAGAAAUUAUAAGUUAAUGCAAAGUUUCUAGACCACAACAAAUAAAACUAUAUGAAUGAUGCUAAUAAAGUAUUCAUUGUAUUCAUAACCAUGGACCUCAUGUAUUUUCUUUCAUGACGUGCACUGUAUUUUUUUACACAUUUAACUACCAAAACCAUUUCCUUCUGAUUUUAUUCUUGAAUAUACUGAGAGACGAAAGAUGUGAUUAAGUUCAGAUAAGCUUUUUAAAGAUAAGGGGAAACAUUUAUCAUCUCCAGAGUUACCUCAUUCUCAGACUUAAUACAAGUUGCCAUUUCCAAAGACAAGGGUUUGUGAACUGGAGUUCAGGGUCCCAUGGACAGAGUAUAUGUAUGUUAAAGAAGCCACAAAAUUGUUGGAAUUCCCUGGAUGUGGACAGUCGGAAUAGUGUAGAACCAGACCCAAAUUGUCUUUACCUCUCAUAUUGAUCAUACGUUAUCUUAUAUCCAUGCAUCUAUCAUAUGAAGCCUUUGGGGAUGUAUUGACUUAACAGGAUGCUAUCCUCCACUCACCCAAACACUAAGGAUGCCAUCAGAUAGCGUCUGAGCCUAGAGCAGAGAAUUCCCUGCUUUGCUGUCACCAAUCUACUGCAUAUUCCCACAGAUACAUUUGAGAAGUGCCUUUUAUGUGACUUCCUUCCUUCUAUAACUACAAACAUCAUUAACUGCCACCAUGUUGGAACCUGAUACUUGGAUGACUUGAGCUGGUGUUCCCAUUAUGGUGGCUCAUGCCUGAUACUAGAAUAAAGCCUGUUAUUCCCUUUAAGGUGAGGGCUGUGUUUUAGGUUGAGAAGAUAGUUGCUAUCUUUUUAUUCAGAGAAAAUUAAUGAGUUUAUUAAGUACUUAGUACAGUAUUGGUCUGAUGUGUUAUAGAAAUUGUUCAUACCAAAUGUUCUUGUGCAAAAUGCAUGUAAUCCAACUCCAAGUGACUUCUCUUCAGACUUGACACACCUGAAAAGUUCACACACACAUGAAUAAAAGGACAGCAUGCAAACUCUAGCUGUCCUAGCAUCCUCCCAAUGACAACAGUAGCUCAUGAUCCCAAUGGUUAAGCUUUCCAUCCUGAAGUAAUAAUACAGAUCUACUUAUGAAUAUGAGGAAGGAGAAUAUGAGUUCUGAAAGCUGUCCUAUGAUCUCCACACAUCUAAAGCAUGGUAGAGUCCAUUAAAUGCUUAGACAUGGAUUGCUAACCUAGACGGAGAAAUCCUUGAUUACCAUGGUGACCUCCGAGCUGUACUAUCAUAAUAACCUAAACCUUUGAAAACACAAAUCAAAUAAAUCUUUUGUUAAGUUGUUUGCCAAGUAUUUUGUCAUGUUGAUAAAAAAGCUAAUAUGUUAUAUAAAAUUCAAAAUACAUAAAAGGCAGAUAAACAGAGAAAGAAUCUAUCAUGCAUUAAGAAAAUGCUUAUGUUCCAUAGAGAUAACAACUUUAGAUGUUUGUCUUUCCUUGUGCCACCUACAGAAAUAGACAUAAGAUGGUUUUGAGAAUUACAUACAAAGGGGAAGCUUGUGAAAAAGUCAUGAUAAAAUCUGAAAAAUAUUAGAUUUUUUAAGGAAGGAAUUAAAGAUAAGCCCCUUUAAAAUUUGCUGUUUCCCCGCCAAAUACACCCUUGAUUAAGAAAAGUUUAACAAGUUUUGUUGAGAUUUCAUUUUGGAAGUGAUUCCAUGAAAGAGUUCAAGAAAACAUAACAGACUAGAAGAAGAAGAACAGCAUGCAAACAGUGGUAGUACUGUAUCAUCAAUCAUUUACAUUGCAACCAUCACAUUCAGCAAGAAAGAGCAAAGAAAUAUGAGAAUAAUAAUUUGAAUAGACCUUAUUUCUAUUACAACAAGAAAUGGCACAUUAGGUUAUAAGAUAGUUCAGUGGGCAAACUUGCUUGCCAACAAGCUAGACAAAAUUAGUUCAAUACAUGGAACCCACAUGGUAGCAAGAGAACCAACUCCUGCAAGAUGUCCUCUCAUUUCAACAUGCAAACACACGUGUGAAUGAACAAUCACACACAUGCACAUAGAGAGACAUCAAAUGUUUUUAAAAAUCACACAUUAAAACAUCAAUAAGCCACAUUUUUUAUACCCAGUUAUAGAGUCAACUUCGUAGAGUAAGGACAAUUGAGAAAGA